rnacentral:rRNA from 1 species
GACAGAGGAUGCAAGCGUUAUCCGGAAUCACUGGGCGUAAAGCGUCUGUAGGUGGUUUAAUAAGUCAACUGUUAAAUCUUGAGGCUCAACCUCAAAAUCGCAGUCGAAACUAUUAGGCUAGAGUAUAGUAGGGGUAAAGGGAAUUUCCAGUGGAGCGGUGAAAUGCGUAGAGAUUGGAAAGAACACCGAUGGCGAAGGCACUUUACUGGGCUAUUACUAACACUCAGAGACGAAAGCUAGGGUAGCAAAUGGGG